rnacentral:rRNA from 1 species
GGGUUGUGAGGUUAAGCGACUAAGCGUACACGGUGGAUGCCCUGGCAGUCAGAGGCGAUGAAGGACGUGCUAAUCUGCGAUAAGCGUCGGUAAGGUGAUAUGAACCGUUAUAACCGGCGAUUUCCGAAUGGGGAAACCCAGUGUGUUUCGACACACUAUCAUUAACUGAAUCCAUAGGUUAAUGAGGCGAACCGGGGGAACUGAAACAUCUAAGUACCCCGAGGAAAAGAAAUCAACCGAGAUUCCCCCAGUAGCGGCGAGCGAACGGGGAGCAGCCCAGAGCCUGAAUCAGUGUGUGUGUUAGUGGAAGCGUCUGGAAAGGCGCGCGAUACAGGGUGACAGCCCCGUACACAAAAAUGCACAUGCUGUGAGCUCGAUGAGUAGGGCGGGACACGUGGUAUCCUGUCUGAAUAUGGGGGGACCAUCCUCCAAGGCUAAAUACUCCUGACUGACCGAUAGUGAACCAGUACCGUGAGGGAAAGGCGAAAAGAACCCCGGCGAGGGGAGUGAAAAAGAACCUGAAACCGUGUACGUACAAGCAGUGGGAGCACGCUUAGGCGUGUGACUGCGUACCUUUUGUAUAAUGGGUCAGCGACUUAUAUUCUGUAGCAAGGUUAACCGAAUAGGGGAGCCGAAGGGAAACCGAGUCUUAACUGGGCGUUAAGUUGCAGGGUAUAGACCCGAAACCCGGUGAUCUAGCCAUGGGCAGGUUGAAGGUUGGGUAACACUAACUGGAGGACCGAACCGACUAAUGUUGAAAAAUUAGCGGAUGACUUGUGGCUGGGGGUGAAAGGCCAAUCAAACCGGGAGAUAGCUGGUUCUCCCCGAAAGCUAUUUAGGUAGCGCCUCGUGAAUUCAUCUCCGGGGGUAGAGCACUGUUUCGGCAAGGGGGUCAUCCCGACUUACCAACCCGAUGCAAACUGCGAAUACCGGAGAAUGUUAUCACGGGAGACACACGGCGGGUGCUAACGUCCGUCGUGAAGAGGGAAACAACCCAGACCGCCAGCUAAGGUCCCAAAGUCAUGGUUAAGUGGGAAACGAUGUGGGAAGGCCCAGACAGCCAGGAUGUUGGCUUAGAAGCAGCCAUCAUUUAAAGAAAGCGUAAUAGCUCACUGGUCGAGUCGGCCUGCGCGGAAGAUGUAACGGGGCUAAACCAUGCACCGAAGCUGCGGCAGCGACGCUUAUGCGUUGUUGGGUAGGGGAGCGUUCUGUAAGCCUGUGAAGGUGUACUGUGAGGUAUGCUGGAGGUAUCAGAAGUGCGAAUGCUGACAUAAGUAACGAUAAAGCGGGUGAAAAGCCCGCUCGCCGGAAGACCAAGGGUUCCUGUCCAACGUUAAUCGGGGCAGGGUGAGUCGACCCCUAAGGCGAGGCCGAAAGGCGUAGUCGAUGGGAAACAGGUUAAUAUUCCUGUACUUGGUGUUACUGCGAAGGGGGGACGGAGAAGGCUAUGUUGGCCGGGCGACGGUUGUCCCGGUUUAAGCGUGUAGGCUGGUUUUCCAGGCAAAUCCGGAAAAUCAAGGCUGAGGCGUGAUGACGAGGCACUACGGUGCUGAAGCAACAAAUGCCCUGCUUCCAGGAAAAGCCUCUAAGCAUCAGGUAACAUCAAAUCGUACCCCAAACCGACACAGGUGGUCAGGUAGAGAAUACCAAGGCGCUUGAGAGAACUCGGGUGAAGGAACUAGGCAAAAUGGUGCCGUAACUUCGGGAGAAGGCACGCUGAUAUGUAGGUGAAGUCCCUCGCGGAUGGAGCUGAAAUCAGUCGAAGAUACCAGCUGGCUGCAACUGUUUAUUAAAAACACAGCACUGUGCAAACACGAAAGUGGACGUAUACGGUGUGACGCCUGCCCGGUGCCGGAAGGUUAAUUGAUGGGGUUAGCGCAAGCGAAGCUCUUGAUCGAAGCCCCGGUAAACGGCGGCCGUAACUAUAACGGUCCUAAGGUAGCGAAAUUCCUUGUCGGGUAAGUUCCGACCUGCACGAAUGGCGUAAUGAUGGCCAGGCUGUCUCCACCCGAGACUCAGUGAAAUUGAACUCGCUGUGAAGAUGCAGUGUACCCGCGGCAAGACGGAAAGACCCCGUGAACCUUUACUAUAGCUUGACACUGAACAUUGAGCCUUGAUGUGUAGGAUAGGUGGGAGGCUUUGAAGUGUGGACGCCAGUCUGCAUGGAGCCGACCUUGAAAUACCACCCUUUAAUGUUUGAUGUUCUAACGUUGACCCGUAAUCCGGGUUGCGGACAGUGUCUGGUGGGUAGUUUGACUGGGGCGGUCUCCUCCUAAAGAGUAACGGAGGAGCACGAAGGUUGGCUAAUCCUGGUCGGACAUCAGGAGGUUAGUGCAAUGGCAUAAGCCAGCUUGACUGCGAGCGUGACGGCGCGAGCAGGUGCGAAAGCAGGUCAUAGUGAUCCGGUGGUUCUGAAUGGAAGGGCCAUCGCUCAACGGAUAAAAGGUACUCCGGGGAUAACAGGCUGAUACCGCCCAAGAGUUCAUAUCGACGGCGGUGUUUGGCACCUCGAUGUCGGCUCAUCACAUCCUGGGGCUGAAGUAGGUCCCAAGGGUAUGGCUGUUCGCCAUUUAAAGUGGUACGCGAGCUGGGUUUAGAACGUCGUGAGACAGUUCGGUCCCUAUCUGCCGUGGGCGCUGGAGAACUGAGGGGGGCUGCUCCUAGUACGAGAGGACCGGAGUGGACGCAUCACUGGUGUUCGGGUUGUCAUGCCAAUGGCACUGCCCGGUAGCUAAAUGCGGAAGAGAUAAGUGCUGAAAGCAUCUAAGCACGAAACUUGCCCCGAGAUGAGUUCUCCCUGACUCCUUGAGAGUCCUGAAGGAACGUUGAAGACGACGACGUUGAUAGGCCGGGUGUGUAAGCGCAGCGAUGCGUUGAGCUAACCGGUACUAAUGAACCGUGAGGCUUAACCUUACAACGCCGAAG